AAACCCUGCGUGCGGGGAGAAAAAUGCACUAAAGGAGCCAUCCUCGGGUUUCCAGGGAAAAUGCAGUGAAGCGGUGGUUUCGGGGUCAAGUGCCCAGCGCUGGGCCCACCCGCGGAACGGAAGCCCGUGGAGGGAGAAGACGUCACUCUUCCUCUGGGGAUGAAGCUCGGGUUCGCCUCAAAUUCGGGCUGCAAAGGCACUGCCGUUCCGGGGGCUCCUCUCGCCCCCUCCCUCAUGCGCAGAGGCACGCGCACGCGCACGCACGCACAGGUGUCCGGCUGACCCCUCCCUGGCGGUGGAGAAUGGCAAGAAGCGCUCUUGCAUUGUGGGCUUCCAGAGGUCCAGCUCUGCAUUUGGAGGAGAGAGAAGGGAGCAGCCACCGCCUGCCAAGACUGCGAGUGAUUCAUUCAACAUGGCAGUUCCCAUACUCAUCGCACAAGGCGUGGACGACACAAAGAGAUGGCUUGCCUGCAAGAGACCCAGCUGGUCCAGAGUCGGAGGCACAUUUCAUUUCUCUGGCCAGCUGGAGAGGCGGCCGGAGCAGACGAGGAGAUCGCCUCUAAUGUUCUAAAUGUCAAUAUGGUCCCUACUGGCUGACUCGCCAAGAUUUGAUCAGCAAAUUGGCCUGCGUGAUGUGUUCCCUGCAAUGCACGGUGUGUGUUUAAAUCUUUCAACAGUGUCAUGAAAG
rnacentral:lncRNA from 1 species